GACGAACGCUGGCGGCGUGCCUAAUACAUGCAAGUAGAACGCUGAAGCGCGGAGUUUGUUCUUUGCGGGAGUGGCGAACAGGGGAGUGACACGUGUAUAACAUGCCCCUUAUAGUGGGGUAACACUAGGGAACACGAGAUCAUACCGCGUAUAACAAUGUGUUGCAUGUGUCGUGUUUGAAAGAUGCGCAAGUGCUCCACUAACACAUGGCUCUUCGGUGUAUUAGCGAGUAGGUGGGGUACUGGCUCACGUAGGCGUCGCCACAGAGUCGCAGUGAGAGGGUGGUCGGCCACACUGGGAGGGAGACACGGCCCAGACGCCCACGGGAGGCAGCAGUAGGGAAUCGUGGGCAAGGGGGGGAACACUGAGCGAGCAACGCCGCGUGAGUGAAGAAGGUUUUCGGAUCGGAAAGCUCGGUUGUAAGUUAAGAACGGGCGUGAGAGUGGAAAGUUCAGACUGUGACGGUAGCUUAUCAGAAAGGGACGGCUAACUACGUG
rnacentral:rRNA from 1 species